CUCCUACGGGAGGCAGCAGUAGGGAAUCUUCCGCAAUGGACGAAAGUCUGACGGAGCAACGCCGCGUGAACGAUGAAGGCCUUCGGGUCGUAAAGUUCUGUUGUUAGGGAAGAACAAGUAUCGGAGUAACUGCCGGUACCUUGACGGUACCUAACCAGAAAGCCACGGCUAACUACGUGCCAGCAGCCGCGGUAAUACGUAGGUGGCAAGCGUUGUCCGGAAUUAUUGGGCGUAAAGCGCGCGCAGGCGGUCCUUUAAGUCUGAUGUGAAAGCCCACGGCUCAACCGUGGAGGGUCAUUGGAAACUGGGGGACUUGAGUACAGAAGAGGAAAGCGGAAUUCCACGUGUAGCGGUGAAAUGCGUAGAGAUGUGGAGGAACACCAGUGGCGAAGGCGGCUUUCUGGUCUGUAACUGACGCUGAGGCGCGAAAGCGUGGGGAGCAAACAGGAUUAGAUACCCUGGUAGUCCACGCCGUAAACGAUGAGUGCUAAGUGUUAGAGGGUUUCCGCCCUUUAGUGCUGCAGCAAACGCAUUAAGCACUCCGCCUGGGGAGUACGGUCGCAAGACUGAAACUCAAAGGAAUUGACGGGGGCCCGCACAAGCGGUGGAGCAUGUGGUUUAAUUCGAAGCUACGCGAAGAACCUUACCAGGUCUUGACAUCCUCUGACAACCCUAGAGAUAGGGCGUUCCCCUUCGGGGGACAGAGUGACAGGUGGUGCAUGGUUGUCGUCAGCUCGUGUCGUGAGAUGUUGGGCUAAGUCCCGCAACGAGCGCAACCCUUGAUCUUAGUUGCCAGCAUUCAGUUGGGCACUCUAAGGUGACUGCCGGUGACAAACCGGAGGAAGGUGGGGAUGACGUCAAAUCAUCAUGCCCCUUAUGACCUGGGCUACACACGUGCUACAAUGGAUGGUACAAAGGGCUGCAAAACCGCGAGGUUAAGCGAAUCCCAUAAAACCAUUCUCAGUUCGGAUUGCAGGCUGCAACU
rnacentral:rRNA from 1 species